rfam:Oryza barthii chromosome 4, whole genome shotgun sequence.
AAUAAGUGUAUCCAUAAGUUUCCGCGCCCAAUUUUGAUCGUUCGUUUUAUUUGAAAUUUUUUUAUAAUUAGCAUUUUUGUUAUUAUAAGAUGAUAAAACAUGAAAUCCUUUACUCGUGACUUAUGUUUUUAAUUUUUUUAAAAAAAUUUUCAAACAAGACGAAUGGUCAAAGUUAGGCGCUGAAAACUAUGGCUGCACUUAUU